rnacentral:tRNA from 1 species
GCGGGCAUGGCGAAAUUGGUAGCCGCAGCAGACUUAAAAUCUGCCGACGCAAGUCUUGCCGGUUCGAUUCCGGCUGCCCGCACCA